UUUAUUCUUUUGGUUUGCUCAUUGAAAAACAUGGGAAGUUGCAUAUGUGUACACACUUACCCACAUGCAUACCCCCCACAUGCACACAUGCAUGUGUACAUGUGCACACAUGCACACACGCACAGAACUCCAUAAAAAGAACAUGAUUAAAGUUGCUAAGUGAAGCUUUUGCCAAUUAGGAAAUGCCAGAGUUAAGGCUGCCCCUGAAACCUUGGUUUGCCUCUAUUAUGUAUAUGUAUAAAGUCUUUAAUUACACAGUCACAUUCAGGACUCAGGAUGGACCUGCCCUGAGGCUCACUCAGGCUUGCACAGUAGAAAGGGCUGAAUCUUUGGAUGCUAUAAUGAGUUGAGGAAUCUAUGAGCAUUUUAGGAAUUUUAUUUGAGAUUGCAAACCCUGUAAAUGCUAACAAUAAAUUAUCUCCACCACUGGUAUGUAAUCACACAGGCCAGCUUCUUCUCACCUUCAUCAGGAGCAAUGAAAUCACCUGUCAGAAAGACAUGGUCAGCUGUUGGGCUUGAUUUGGAGGUCACCUGACAGAGCAGGUGGGAAGGUUAUAAAAGAGCAGGAAUGGCUCUGUUUGGGGGUUUCUUUCUUGGUGUUUCACCAGCUUAGGGGAAGAGAGGCACAGCUGGAGCCAAAUGAGGGGCGAGAGCUGCUAAGUUAUGGGUGACAGAGAGGGAGAGGCCUCUCAUGUGGAUAGAGUUAAGCAAGGAAGGGGGCUUUUAGGCUUAAAGGAGACUGAGGGGCUGCAAUAUGCCUAAGGAGAGGUGCAGUUGGGCUGCAGGUGCUACCUUGCAGGCUGAGAUGGCAAACACAGCAGCUGUACUCUGGGAGCAAGUCUGGUGAUCUAUGCCAAGGGCAGUGUGCAGGUUCUCUCUCCAAACUCCGAAGCUGAAGUGCACCAGGCUGGGACACAAUACUGGGACAAAUACAGCAGUCUGCUCGAGUGUCAGCGCUGGAUAGAUGGAUUGGGGGGUCUGGGAAGACAGUGCUACACAUCUCUGCAUCAUCGUUUGUGAAAACUUCAAGGAAAAUGCCUUUGCAGUAAAAUUACCAGAAACUGCUUUUCUCAGACAAAACCUCUUGGACUGGAUAUUCACGUUCAGGCUAUGUUGCAGUGUUCUCCAGCCCAUUUUCUCCCUCUUCCUUGUCCUCUGC